rnacentral:tRNA from 3 species
AGGGAUAUAGCUCAGGUGGCUAGAGCGUUCGGUUCAUACCCGAAAGGUCAUAGGUUCGACUCCUAUUAUUCCUACCA